rnacentral:rRNA from 1 species
GACGAACGCUGGCGGCGUGCUUAACACAUGCAAGUCGAACGGAAAGGCCCUGCUUGCCGGGUACUCGAGUGGCGAACGGGUGAGUAACACGUGGGUGAUCUGCCCUGCACUUCGGGAUAAGCCUGGGAAACUGGGUCUAAUACCGGAUAGGAGCCAUUUUUAGUGUGAUGGUUGGAAAGUUUUUUCGGUGUAGGAUGAGCUCGCGGCCUAUCAGCUUGUUGGUGGGGUAAUGGCCUAUCAAGGCGGCGACGGGUAGCCGGCCUGAGAGGGUGGACGGCCACAUUGGGACUGAGAUACGGCCCAGACUCCUACGGGAGGCAGCAGUGGGGAAUAUUGCACAAUGGGCGCAAGCCUGAUGCAGCGACGCCGCGUGGGGGAUGACGGCCUUCGGGUUGUAAACUCCUUUCGCUAGGGACGAAGCUUUUUGUGACGGUACCUAGAUAAGAAGCACCGGCUAACUACGUG